CUAGCGUUGCUCGGAAUCACUGGGCGUAAAGCGCACGUAGGCGGACUCUUAAGUCAGGGGUGAAAUCCUGGAGCUCAACUCCAGAACUGCCUUUGAUACUGAGGAUCUUGAGUUCGGGAGAGGUGAGUGGAACUGCGAGUGUAGAGGUGAAAUUCGUAGAUAUUCGCAAGAACACCAGUGGCGAAGGCGACUCACUGGCCCGAUACUGACGCUGAGGCACGAAAGCGUGGGGAGCAAACAGG
rnacentral:rRNA from 1 species